rnacentral:rRNA from 1 species
UACGGAGGGUGCAAGCGUUAUCCGGAUUCACUGGGUUUAAAGGGUGCGUAGGCGGGCAGGUAAGUCAGUGGUGAAAUCUUCGAGCUUAACUCGGAAACUGCCUUUGAUACUAUCUGUCUUGAAUAUGGUGGAGGUAAGCGGAAUAUGUCAUGUAGCGGUGAAAUGCUUAGAGAUGACAUAGAACACCCAUUGCGAAGGCAGCUUACUACGCCUAUAUUGACGCUGAGGCACGAAAGCGUGGGGAUCAAACAGG